rnacentral:rRNA from 1 species
ACUACGGGAGGCAGCAGUGAGGAAUAUUGGUCAAUGGGCGAGAGCCUGAACCAGCCAAGUCGCGUGAGGGAGUACUGCCCUAUGGGUUGUAAACCUCUUUUGUCGGGGAGCAAAAGCCGGACGUGUCCGGCUGUGAGAGUACCCGAAGAAAAAGCAUCGGCUAACUCCGUGCCCGCAGCCGCGGUAAUACGGAGGAUGCGAGCGUUAUCCGGAUUUAUUGGGUUUAAAGGGUGCGCAGGCGGAUUUUUAAGUCAGCGGUCAAAUCGUGGGGCUAAAACCCAUCCAGCCGUUGAAACUGGGGAUCUAGAGUGUGCGAGAGGGAGGCGGAAUGCGUGGUGUAGCGGUGAAAUGCAUAGAUAUCACGCAGAACCCCGAUUGCGAAGGCAGCAUACCGGUGCACAACUGACGCUCAGGCACGAAAGCGUGGGUAUCGAACAGGAUUAGAUACCCUUGUAGUC